UACGUAGGCAGCAAGCGUUGUUCGGAAUUAUUGGGCGUAAAGAGCUCGUAGGCGGUUUGUCGCGUCUGCCGUGAAAGUCCGGGGCUCAACUCCGGAUCUGCGGUGGGUACGGGCAGACUAGAGUGAUGUAGGGGAGACUGGAAUUCCUGGUGUAGCGGUGAAAUGCGCAGAUAUCAGGAGGAACACCGGUGGCGAAGGCGGGUCUCUGGGCCGAUACUGACGCUGAGGAGCGAAAGCGUGGGGAGCGAACAGG
rnacentral:rRNA from 1 species